UGGGUUGUAGCUCAGAGGUAGAGCGGCUGCCUAGCAAGUAUGAGGCACUGGGUUCGAUUCUCAGCACCACAU
rnacentral:tRNA from 1 species